UUUCCGUAGGUGAACCUGCGGAAGGAUCAUUAAUGAGUUGUCAUGGGGUUCGAUGCUGGCAGCCAGUUUUUGGAUGCAUGUGCUUGCCCUAACAAUCAUCUUCUUCCAAACACCUGUGCACAUUUUGAGGGAGUCUUGAGUUGGUUGCCGCUCUUGGGUGAUUUUCUCACAUUCCCUUAAAUCAUUAUACGCUAUUAACAAUGUUGAACGUGCUCUGUGCCGCAAGGCCAUUAAUAUAAUACAACUUUUAACAACGGAUCUCUUGGCUCUC
rnacentral:misc_RNA from 1 species